AUUGAACGCUGGCGGCAGGCCUAACACAUGCAAGUCGAACGAGUGGCGCACGGGUGAGUACUGUCUGUGAAACUGCCCGAUGGAGGGGGGUAACUACUGGAAACGGUUCCUAAUACCGCAUUCCCUCGGAUGUGCCCCGAUGGGAUUAGCUAGGAGGUGGGGUAACGGCUCACCUAGGCGACGAUCCCUAGCUGGUCUGAGAGGAUGACCAGCCACACUGGAACUGAGACACGGUCCAGACUCCUACGGGAGGCAGCAGUGGGGAAUAUUGCACAAUGGGCGCAAGCCUGAUGCAGCCAUGCCGCGUGUGUGAAGAAGGCCUUCGGGUUGUAAAGUACUUUCAGCGAGGAGGCGUUACUCGCAGAAGAAGCACCGGCUAACUCCGUGCCAGCAGCCGCGGUAAUUC
rnacentral:rRNA from 1 species